AUCCAAGAAGAGAGUUGGGGUUGUGGAACCAGGCUGCCUAAGAAGGAGCACACCAAUUCAGGUCAGAAAUGGAGCAACUCAAAGCUACCAUUAUGAUCAGUACAGCUAGCAACACUAUGAGAAGCCCCUGCAUUUCCAGCCUAUAUUCAUCAAAAUCGAGUGGCAAGACAAAAAUCAGGAUGACUGGUGAAGGCCUGGGAUGAAGUGGAUGAUUUUGCCAUCUUCAAUGCCUGACCAAGUUCUAAGUGCUCCAUAGCCCUUGUUUCAGCUUCCUUCAUGCCAUUGGAAACAAAUUGUUUUCAUCUACCCAAGAAGACUUCACAUGCUUCGGAUAGGCAUCCCUCCUAAGUCACCAAUGAGGCAAUUUUAUUAGGAAGUAGCCAUUGGACAUGCUACAGCUUGUAAUUUAAAAUUAAAAUAAAAAAUUAAAAUCA